AUGGGACAGAGCGGCAAAAUUUCAGAGGUGUGGAAAUGUUCAGAAAGAGACCUCCCCCAGAGCUGUGUAAAUGAAACGACGGUGGGACAACAUGACUAUCCUGAAAGACAUCCCAGAGAAGUGGUUUCCAAUCAUCCUCCCUCUAAAAAGGAAGAAAGAGGGAUUAAGCAACGCAACAAAAAUAAGAAAAGGAGCAGGUACCUUUACUUUGCGUCAGCCUACGCAUGUGUCAUUUGUUUACCACAGCUCAGUCUAGUUGCUAGUUGGUAGUUACUAUUAUUCUAAUAUAUGUGACAUUCAUAUUAGAAUAGAGAUCAUUUAGACAUUCAGAUAAUAAAUGUCAAAUUUAUUUAUUUAUUUAUUAUUUAUUUAUUUAAUGUUUCUUCCUCCUUUAACACUUUCCUUUCCUGUAAAUAAACCACUUUGUAUUCUUCCAUAAGUGUGCUUGCUCAUUCAUUAUUUCACCCUCAUGACUGUCUCACAAAAUCACAUCAAUGUCCAGUGUGUCAGUGUUUGUCCCAUGACCUUGUGAUUAUAUCCAUCAUGCUUACCCCAGUCAACAUUCACAAAUCCACUCAUUCAAUUAAUUGAAUUUAAUUUUAAAUGUAAAACAUUCUGUAUAAUCAAGCUUUAGAAGGUCUUGUUUAUAGUGUUAUUGAGAUGACUGCAUAACCUUAUUUCUACAGUUUAAUGUCUUUUAUGAUCUGGCACACAAUAUAUCUCACAAUAUUUAUCUACCCAACUUCAAAUCACUUCUCAUCUGCAUUUUUCCCACGCCUCAGUUUAUUUCACAGUAGGUAAAUGAGUAAUCUGUGUGAAGUGCUAAUCAACAUGCGGUCCGUUUUAAAUGUCGUUUAUGUAAUGAACACAGCCUACAACAUUUUCACUGUCAUGUUUUGUUGUUGCAAAACAGUCUAUUUUUCACUAAAGGGAGCAGGUGUUGGUGAAAUUAAGUAACUGGAUACUGUUCUGGUUUGUAAAGGAAUUGAGCUGGACCUCUCAGAUUCUGUAAAGCCAGACUGCAAAUGAUCAAGAAUUGCUGUUUAAUUGGGGAUCAACUUUAUGUGUUUUUUUUUUUUUUAGGUCUGGGGGAGUUUUUAUACUCAGUGGCCUCAAUAUAUGUGUAGCCAUUUCAGUUUAUUAAGUGGAGUCAUUUGUGCUACAUUUUUGAGAUUUUUUUUACCUGUACAAAAGGCUGGAAAUGAUUGUGAGAUUACUGUUUUUACAUCUUCAUCUUUCAUAUUUAUGUCUCACUUUCCUUAUGACAAGGUAAUUUAAGAUGUCUGUAACAUAUCACAGUGUCUGUCACAGCAUAGAUGCUCUCAUUAUCAGUCACUAUACAGAUAGCACCAUCUAAAAAUGCCCAGAAUGACUCAGGCUACAGAGGUGGCUGGCUGCCAUGUGUAGAGGUAUCCAAGUUUCAUUUCAAAUCAAGAAGAGUCCCACAAAAAUCACCUCUGCUGUCUUAUUUGUACUUGCUGUCAACCUUAAAACAUUUCAAAUGUGAUUAGACAUGAAGUAUGGGUCCUGACCUUCAGUCGAUCUUUAAAGGCCUGGAAAUAUCUGUGCAUAUGCCACAGAAAGAAAUUCAGUGUCGUAGUGGCCUUUUAAACUUAGGUAGGAACAGUUAUUGUCUUAGUAACUCCAGUUAUAAUUGUAUUUCUGUAUUUUUUUUUUAUAUUUAUUAUAAUGAACAAUAUCCUGUAGAAUUGAGGGUUUAAAUAUUCAAAAGUUUUAUUUAUUUAUUUUAUAUGUGCAGUUUCCCAAGUGCUUUUUGUGGAACUCAUGGACAUCACGCAGAGACCGGGUUUGCUCCUUAUUUUUGUCGCACUGAAUGCAUGAUUUCUGUUAGAGUGAAAUGUUCUGAGAUGCAGUCAGUGGGUGUUAAGCCUGUCCUUAUGUGAACCCCAGUAAUUCCUUUACUCAGAGAGUCCAGCUAAGAAAAGAAGAAAUACUGAUGGUGAGAGAUGGAGAGUGUUUUCCGAUAUGGAUAGAUGAGUCAGCCAGAUGGGCAUAUGAAGGCACUUGGCAAAAAGAAGAAGGGAUGGAGAAAUGGGAGCAUGACUGCAAGAGGAGGGAGAGCAAAAGCAAGCAAAUGUUGCACAGAGACUGGAAUGAAAUGAAGGGUCAUGUGGAGGUCAUGCGCUUUUUUUAUCAAAUAAAUAAAUGCUUCAUGAUGCUCAGCAUAUGUUUUGGCAUUAUAGCAUAGUACACGUUCUCUGAACAUAUUUUUCUGGAGAAUGUGAGAGAAGUAAAAUUUUAAAGCAGUAAAUUAAGAGAAUAACUCUUUAAGCAAAUGCAAGCGUUUACAUGAAUACAUUAGUGAGUAUUUGGCCUCUGUUAAGGAUGGAAUCAUGCAUUUGGCUCGUGUUCUGGCUGUUCCUCUGCUGUGUGUGCAAAAAGGUUUGAGUACAGUAGCAAUUAGCUCACCCACUAAGAGGCUAAUUUGAGCCUGUGGCUUGUCUCUUUUAGACAUUAAAUGGGACAAAUGGUUUGAAAUAGUGGAGACAACAGAAACUUCAGUGGUGCUUUAGUGUUGCUUUGACACUUUGAUUAAAUGUGCACUAUUUUUGAGACCUGACUGAAAGAUUCCCUUUGAUAGCAAUUGUUUGUGUUUUUUCAAAAGGCAAAGUUGGUGUUAACUUGAGAAGAAUCUAUAUUAUUUGAAGUUAUUUGAACUUUUGUUUCUCUCACAUCAUGGUUUGCUCUCAUUUUACUUUCUUCAGACUUCAAGGUCAAUGAAAAAAGCAAGUGUCCAAGAUAAAGAAAAACUUUAAAAGGUGUUUUAUAGCAUAUGCAAGUUUCUUUAUGCUCUUUGUUUUCCUGUUAGAUUCAUAUGAUUUGAAAAACCAUUUAUAUAAUUUUAAAGAAAAAAAAAUGUGGUAAAACCAUAAAUAUAUGUGAGUAUCUCAUUUUAAUCAUUUAAAAAAAAAGUUUUUUUUUCCAAUUUAGAAAAUUUAAUUAUUAUUUAAAAAUUAUUAAUUAUUAUACCAUCAUGUUUUUAAGUGGUUGUAUCACGUAAUAUUUAACUAACCUUUCCUUCUCAAAAAAUUAUAUUCUCAAAUAUCUGAUACAGAAGACUUGGGUAAUGGCUGCUGGAAAUUCAGAUUUGCCAUCUCCAGAAUAAAACAAAAAUAUUAAUAUUAAAAUAAAAAUCAAUUCUUUUAAAUUAGAAUAAUAUUUCACAGUAUUAGAUAUUUUUACUGUAUUUUUCAUCCAAUAAAUGCAGCAUCAUGAGUUAUGACAUA
rnacentral:lncRNA from 1 species